UCUCCCAAUCACAUACCUUGUUGUCCUCUUCCUCCUGGUGGCUAAAUCAUCAUUUGUUUUCAUUGUUGCAGUUUUCUAAGCCAUACUCAGAGUUGAGCCAUCUGGCAGCAGGUGCCGCCAGUGUGCUUGUAGGCAGACUCCCUUAUUUAGUGGAGAACCGAGGCUGAACGACUUCCCUGAAAGAUGUCACACUCAGGUCCCCACACUGACGCCUUUAGCCCAGGCUCUCCUGAACCCUCAGCUUACCUGUUUGUCCAAGAUAGGCCAGGCACAGAGGUUCAGGCCUGUAAUCCCAGCAGCACUUUGGGAUUUGGGAGGAUUGAGGAUUGCUUGAGGCCAGGAGUUCAAGACCAGCUUGGGCAACAUAGUGAGACCCUACCAUCUCUACAAAAAAAUGUUUUAAAAAAUGAGCUGGCCAUGGUGGCGCACACUGGUAGCCCCAGCUGCUAAAGAGGCUAAAGCAGGAUGAUCACUUGAACCCAGGAGUUCAAAGCUGGAGUGAGCCGUGAUGACACCACUGGACUCCAGCCACAGGCGUGGGUGCUCGCUAAGUAUGGUAUGGAGAGGUUGUGUAUGGUCCAGAUUCAUGACGAGAGAGGGUCUGGGAGAUGAGUGGGAGCCCAGGCAGCUGGAACCCGUGGGUGGGCCCCGACUCACGUUAGGGCAAGGAGGGGAACCCCGGUCAAGGCUGAGUGUCCUGGCCGGCUCUGGACCUGCAGCCCUGGGGGAUUGGCCCGGACGGGCCAGCAGAGGGCCCCCGAGUGCAGCCUGCACGGCCUCCUGUGGCUGAUUCCCGGGCUUUCUGCUGCCUGGCAUUUCCUGUCCUUUGCCCAAGCCGGGGCAUCUGGGACAUUGAAAAGAAAGGGACGGGGAAGGAAGGCAUGUGUCUAGCUUGCUCCAUCCCGCUUGCAUUUGGGAGGUCUUCAGUGGGAAUGUUUUUUCUGGAAGCAAUCAGCAAAUGUGAAACACCAUCAAGCCAGGCAAUUGGAGAGGUAGAAAGAAGCGAGGACUCGGGGAGUAUGGGCAUUUUAGAAAUAAAAAUUUAAGUUGACAAGGAAAUGUUUCUUCCAGAGGGGUUUACAGUUCAAUCCUUUUUUUUUUUUUUUAACUUUUAGGUUUGGGGGUAUAUUUGAAGGUUUGCUACAUAAGUAAACACAUGUCACGGGGGUUUGUUGUAUAAGUUAUUUUAUCACCCAGGGACUGAGCCCAGUACCCAGUGGUUACCUUUCUGCUCCUCUCCCUCCUCCCACCCUCCACCCUCCAGUGGACCCCCGUGUCCGGUGUUUCCUUCUUUGUGUUCAUUGGUUCUUAUCGAUUAUUAGCUCCCACUUGUAAGUGAGAGGAUAACAGUAUUUGCUCUUCUAUUCCUAUAUUAGAUACUUUUUAUUUUUCAUGUAUUUAUCUUGAGACAGGGUCUCACUCUGGCCCAGACUGGAGUGCAGUGUCAAGAUCACGGCUCAUUGCAAACUUGACUUCCUGGGCUCAGGCAGUCCUUCUGCCUUGGUCUGUAAAGUGCCGGGAUUCCAGGACACAACAAAGAGGGGAAAAAAGAGACGUGAGGUGCUGGGAUUGCAGCCUUAGCCACCACACCCAGCUAAUUUUAAUUUUCUGUUUUUUGUAGAAACAGGGUCUCACUGUGUUACCCGGGCUUGUCUUGAAGUCCUGGGCUCAAGGGAUCCUCCCACCUCCACCUCCCGAAGUGUUGGGAUUACAGGCAUGCACGCCACGCCCAGCCUUCUCUUUCCUUCUAAACAGUAGUCAGUAGAGAGACUUGGCUUUCCCACAGGGCUGCUUGAGUCCAGCUCUCGAUCCACUGUCUUCCUGCACUGCAGAUCCUCCCACCAUCUCACCCUACACGCUGGCCCCAGAAUGAAAAACAGCACCAUGUUUGCUGGCCUGAUGCGAUGCCCCACUCUGACUUCACAGUGAAAGGAGGCCGGGCUUGGAGGCUCAACGCCUGUAAUCCUAGCACUUUGGGAAGCCGAGGUAGGCGAAUCGCUUGAGGUCAGGAGUUUGGGACCAGCCCGGCCAACGUGAUGAAACCCUGUGUCGACUAAAUCUAUGAAAAUUAGCCAGUCAUGACAGGUACCUGUAGUCCCAGCUGCUCAGGAGGCUGAGGCAGGAGAAUGGCUUGAACCUGGGGGGCAGAGGUUGCAGUGAGCUGCGAUUGCUCCUCUGUACUCCAGCCUGGGCUGACAAGAGUGACUCUGUCUCAAAAAAAUACAACUGGUUGCAGUGGCUCACAUAAUCCCAGCACUUUGGGAGGCUGAAGCGGGCAGAUCACCUGAGGUUAGGAGUUUGAGACCAGCCUGGUCAAUAUGGUGAAACCCUGUGUCUAUUUAAAAAUAAAAAAAAUUAGCUGGGUGUGGUGGCAUGCACCUGUAGUCCUAGGUACUUGAGAGGCUGGGGCAGGAGAAUCGCUUGAACCCAGAGGUAGAGAUUGUAAUGAGCCAAGUGGUGGUGAUCAUGCCACCAUAUUCCAGCCUGGGCAACAGAGAGUUUGUCCAAAAAAAGUAAAAGGAAAUCUCAGAAUUUCUUACCGAAUGACAAUAUAAAUUAGAGACAGAAAUUAUACAUUGGCUGGGUAUAGUGACCCAUGGUUCUAAUCUCAGCACUUUGAGAGGCCAAGGUGGAUGGAUCACUGGAGGUCAGGAGUUCGAGACCAGCCUGGCCAACAUGGCAAAACUCCGUCUCAUUAAAAAUAUGAAAAUUAGCCACACGUGAUGGUGCAUGUCUGUAGUCCCUGCUACUUGGGAGACUGAGGCAGGAGACCUGCUUGAACUCGGGAGGCAGAGGUUGCAGUGAGCUGAGAAUGCACCACUGCACCCCAAGCCUGGCGACAGAGUGAGACUCCGUCUGCAAAAAAAUUACAGACUUUAUGUCUAAAUUGCCUGAGUUUAAAGAGCAGCUCUGCCACUGAUUCACUCUGGGACUUCAGGCAAGCUACUUAACUUUUCUGUGCCUGUUUCCUCACCUGUGGGGAUAAGGAUGGUUUCUUGUAGCUGACAGAGCCCUUUGAAGGGACGCACACAUGUUUAUCUGCAGUGAGUGUUAUUAUUACUACUAUUUCUUUUGAGAUUAAGUCUUGCUUUGUCAACUCACCCUGGCUAGAGUACAGUGGCGCAAUCUUGGCUCACUGCAACCUCCGCCUCCUGGGUUCAAGCAAUUCUCCUGCCUUGGUCUCCUGAGCAGCUGGGAUUACAGGCAUGUGCCACCUCUCCUGGCUAAUUUUUGUAUUUUUAGUAGGGAUGGGGUUUCACCUCGUUGGCCAGGCUGGUUUGGAACUCCACCCACCUCGGCCUCCCAGAGUGCUGCGAUUACAGGUGUGAGCCACCACACCCGGCCUUGCCGUAGUAUUAUUGAUCCCCAGAGAAGCUCUUGGGUGAGUGUGGUCACCUUUCAGAAAUAACAGAAUGUGCAUUCGGUUAAAUCAUUGAGUAAAUACGGCUUCUUCUGUAGCUUCCAGUUUUCCAAAAAAGAGCUGCAAACGCACCAUCACUUACUGUAUGGACGUGGCUGGAAACCUGGCCAGCUGGGCUGGUGGCUCAGAUGGCCUUGCCGUCUCUGUGCUCGAGCCACUCACCGCAGAAUUUCCCUUCAGGGACACGGCACCCAGCUCACCCGUUUUCCACCUUGGUUUCCCACACUGUGGUGAUUCUGGGUGGGAAUAUUUGGGGCUUGAUUCACUCUGCCUGGGUGGACAGAGAGGCAAGCUUGCCCAAGUCUCCCAGGGUGGACGGAGAGGCCAGCUUGCCCAAGCCUCCCAGGGUGGACGGAGAGGCCAGCUUGCCCAAGUCUCCCAGGGUGGACGGAAAGGCCAGCUUGCCCAAGCCUCCCAGGACUGAUAAUCGGGUGAAAUUUGUUGCCAAAGAAUAAGCACAUCCCUUUCUGGAGUAGGGGGACAAAUCUGUAUUUACCCUCACUAGAAAUUAGGAUCAGCCGGGGACAGGGCACACAUCUGUGAUCCCAGCACGUGGGGAGGCCCAGGCCGGAGGAUUGCUUGAACUCAGGAGUUUGAGACCAGCCUGUACAAUACAGCGAGAACCUGUCUCUACAAAAAAUAUGAAAUUAGCCAGGCAUGUGGCACAUACCCAGCUACUCAUGAGGCUGAGGUAGGAGGAUCGCUUGAGCCCAGGAGGUUGAGUCUUCAGUGAGCCAUGAUCGUAUCACUGCAUUGCAGCCUGGGCAACAGAGCACGAUCCUGUCUCAAAGAGAAAGAAAAGAAAAAAGAAAUGAAACUAGACCAGGGACAUGGUGUAGCUCAUACCUGUAAUCCCUGCACUUUUGGGAGGCCGAGGUCAGCAGAAUCCUUGAGCUCGGAAGUUUGAGACCAGCGUGGGCAACAAAAUGAGACCCAGUAUCUACAAAAAGUACACACUAUUAGCUGGGCCUGGUGGCCUGCACCUCUAGUCCCAGCUAUGUGGGAGGCUGCGGGAGGAUCCCUUGAGCCUGGAAGGUCGAGGCUGCAGUGAGCCAAGAUUGUGCCACUGCACUCCAUCCUGGGCGACAAAGACCCUGUCUCAGAAAAAGCAAAACCAAAAAAGUUUGGUUUUCAGAUGGUUUUUCACAUCUGGCGUGGCGGGUGUGGAUAGCCGGGCCCUCCUGGGUACCUCUGCCUUAGGUGGUUUGGUUGAAGCAUUUGGAGAGAAUCUGUCCUCUCCAGACCUACAGGGGAGCAUGCUUUUGUGGCCUCUCGGGAUCAGUGUGGCUGUUCUUCCGUGCUGGACCAAAACUCCACCAGUCUUUCUUCAAGAUGAAGAAACCAAGGCUUUGUAACUAACAACCCCGCAAAAAGGACAAAACUGGCCCCAGAGCACCUUGCUCCCGGAUCUGGCAAGAAUGCCUCUGGUUUGCUGAGAAGUCCACAUAUUUAUCCAGCUCAAGAAUGGGAGAUGGACGGUGACCAGAGUCUUUCGGUGUCACCCAGGCUGGAGUGCUGUGGCACUAUCUCAGCUCACUGCAACCUCUGCCUCCCGGGUUCGAGUGAUUCUCCUGCCUCAGCCUCCUGAUAGCUGGGAUGACAGGCGCCUGCCACCAUGUCCAGGAUGUGUCUUUCGCCUGGCAAAUGGUGUAAUGCCCGGUUGUCUGGCCUGCACCCAGGAGUCCCUCCCGGAAACUUGCUCACAUUGGCAGACGCCCUGCGCCUCUUGUCUGAUUCGCGUCCAGGUUAUGCCUGCCUGACCAUCACUCUGGUGCUGGAAGCCUGCCCUGUGUCCCCCGCGUCCCCGAGAAAACCCAGCCUGGGCAGCCCCUGGUUCUUCCUUGUGGCAGGUACAAAUUCAGUCCCCACUGCAAUGGGAAACAGGUUCAAAGACUUACUAGUCGCAGAUCCUGGGCAGGGAGGGCACCAGGAGUGGGGACAGCCAUCGUCCAUCCCCAGAUCCCAUGUGGCAGAAGUGAAGGUUCGGGCAGAGAGAAGAGGGUGUGGCAAUGAGCCGUUUGCACAGGGAGUGGGGAGCGGUCAGCGCAGGUUCACGGGCAAAUGCCUGAAUGGUCUGAUGAAAGGAAGUGCAGGGAGCAUGGGGGCCCAGGCUCCCAGCAGGAGAGACGCCUCUGAGUGCUCAUCUCUGGUAGGUGGCAUGGGCGUCUGGGCAUGGUGUCCUCCUGGUGCCCAGGCUACGGGCUUGGCUGUGCUGCCCGCUACAACGGUCCCUACCGAUACCACCUGUCACACACAGGACACUGCAGGAGCAGAUGCCUUAGCACAGACCAGGGAGAGCAACGGUGGCCCUCGGACUUGGGGCACAUGAGGAGCACUGGCCUCUGCCUCCUUCCCUAGGGCCACAUGAGCAUAAAAACAGGUGGCCCCAAAUUAGAGGAAUGCCAAGGCACCACCCAGAUGCACCCAGAGGAUCCUGGGAGGGUCAGGCUGCUGCAGCCCGUGCGCUGGGCCUCGGGAUAGAGGAGCUGCAGCUGGGAGGCCCUCAGUUGGAGGAAACACCCCCUCCCUCACGCACACCUGUGGUUCUGCUGCUGCCGCCGCCUGUGAGGGCCCAGAGCGCUGGUCAUGGCUCCUGAGACCCAGGGUCUGCUGAGUUCCGAGGGACCCCAAGUCGCCACUUCCUGUCAUUCUGAAGUCCUACCCUGGACUCGGCAGAUUCUCCCAGACACCAGGUCACCCAUGAGGAAGGCUGAGGCGGCAUCUUCACCUGGACACCGGCCUGCGGCUCUCAGCUCUCCUGUGGCCUCCAUGAGGGGACCUGGAGGGGAUGGGUCUGCUGCUUCCAGACCCACGUGCAGGGACAGGGGGUGCCCUGAGGAGGGGCCCUGGGCUUCCUCUCACAGCGCCCAGGAGCCGAAGUAGCGGAAGGCCUGGGUCCAACUGGGAGGGGACAGGGUUCAGCUUCCUCCAUGGGGCUGAGCGUCCAGAGGCAGCCCAGGGUUUGGGAGCAGGGCUGGUGGAGUGUGACAGGGUGGUCUCCUUGUCUGGGCUCCGUUCUCUGUCCUCGACUCUGGGCGAUGCUGGCUUGUAGGAGGCGCGUGGCUGUGGUUCGGUCAGGGAGGGCUGCCUGAGGACGAGGGCCGCCCAGUGGGACAAGCACAUGGGGACGGGCUUCUCAUGUGCCUUUCAGAGGCUACAGUUGGUUAAAACCAUUCCCAUCCACAGCAUGAGUGACAGUGGGUGCAGGAGCCUUUCCUUCUCCUGCCCCACCUGGGCCCGGUGCCCCCGCCCCAGCCCCGGCCUUGCUGAGUCCCCAGCACCAGCGGUCACAGCGUGGUCCCAGGAGGGACCUUCAGAGCUGAGAGUGACACAGAAUUCACCCCCGACGCACCUGCCUGCAUGGAAGCAGGGGGCCUGGGGCAGAGCAAAGCCUGGGAGUCCAGGCAGUUCCCAGCCUGUCCAUGCCAACCCUGACAGCCCCUCCCCAUUCCCGAGGCGUCGGGGAGCCACUCAGUGACCUGUAGGUGAUUCCGCCUCCCCCGGUGAGGCACAGAGACUUGGGCACCUCCCCAAGGGCUGUAGUUGAGGCCACGAUCUGUCCAGACAGGGCCCCGGAGCUGCCUCCGGGCUUCUUGGACACCCCGGGUCAUGCCCUCGUGACUGCUCCAUGUCACCCUCCGGUCAGCUGUGGAGUAGGUGAACACACAGCCACACGUGGCUGGGACUGGCCCUGCUCUGCAGGCUAUUGGCCUCUCUGGGCAUCAGUCAGAGGCCCACAUGGUUCCUGGGGACACUGUGUCUCGAGCCUCCUCCUGGAGGGGCACAGGGAAAGGCAGGCUGGCAGCUGGCUCUGCUGUUCCCCAAAGUUUGGUGCUGGCUGGUGAGGGCCUCCCAGACACAGGGCCAUGUCACCAGGGGUCAAAGAGUAGUGGGAAGGGAAGGUGGGGUCUCCGGUGGCCCUUGGCGAGUGCAAUCUGAAGUCAGCCAUGCUCCCUAAGGGGUGUCUCCCCUGGGUUGAAGGCUGGUGGAGGCUCCUGCAUGUCCAGCCCAAGCUGUGGCCUUCAGGGUCAGGACAGCCACCUCCCAUUCUAGUAAAGAAUCCAGAACAAUUAGCUAGGCGUGGUGGUGCGUGCCUGUAGUCCCAGCUACUCUGGAGGCUGAGGCAGGAGAAUGGCUUGAAGCCAGGAGGCGGAGGUUGCAGUGAGCCGAGAUCACACCACUGCACUCCAGCCUGGGCAACAACAGCGAAACUCCAUCUAAAAAAAAAAAAAAAAUCCAGAACAGAGACUGAAAACACCCCUUAACUGAGAGGGGAGGGAGGAGGCAGGAAACAGUGGCUGAUCUCGGAUGGCUGGCUGCUCUGGGGUUGGCGAGCAGGUGAUUCUCGUCAGCCUGAGGCCCUCAGAGAUGGUAGAACAGGGGACCCCCUGCCCCUGACGGUGACCCGUCGCAGAGCUACAAGCGCUUUCAUACACUCAGUGUGCUCAGAAAGCAAUCCAGGUCAGGCACACCUGUGGUCCCAGUGACACAGGAGGUCAGGGCAGGGGGAUCACUUGAGCCCAGGAGACGGAGAUUGUAGUGAGCUAUGAUCACACCACUGCCCUCCAGCCUGGUCGACAGAGUGAGACCCCAGCUCUUAAAAAAAACCAAAAAGGGCAAAGAAAGCAGCUGGGAGUUCGAAGCCCAGGCAAGGGGGAAACAGGAGCCCUGUGGGGACAGAAGCAUGUGGUCCCUUAGAAGGAGGAGGGCCCAGUGCCCAGUGCCCAUGUCGGCAUGGCUCUGUGCGACCCUCCAUGGCUGAGUGAGGCUUGGGCCAG